rnacentral:misc_RNA from 1 species
AAAGAAUUCAUCGUCCCAGAUAUUCGCCGCGGUUCUUUAUACGGUUUAUAUCCCCGUAUAAAGACGAGAACGCGCGAUACCCGGUAUGGACCACCACCUGCAGCAUCAACUCCACCGUUGCGCAGUCACGGAGCAGAUUGUCUUCCGCGGGGCCCUCUCCUAUUCCCUCGUCGUCUAUCGAAUGUUGUUGUACUUCUUCUGGAAAAUCGAUCGUGAGAAUAUCCGGAUAGCCUCCGAUGCACAGGUAUAAGGUAGCCACCUAAAUUCUUGACCGAAAAAAUUUAAGGUCCUCGUAAUACCUCCAUGAAAAAAACAGGGAGAGGGUAUAUAAUGGUAUGGUGGAACGGCAGGUGCUCAACGGCGACG